rnacentral:rRNA from 1 species
AAAUCAACAUUAUAACGGCGUAAAGAGUGGUCACAUGUUAUCCAAGUAGCUAAGACCAAAAAGCAACUGAGUUGUCACAAGCUAAAGAUGCGGCAUAAGGCCUCUAUUCAAAGAAGAUCUUAGACCAACGAUUAAUUGAAGCCACGAAAGCCAGGGCCCAAACUGGGAUUAGAUACCCCACUAUGCCUGGCCCUAAAUCUUGAUGCUCGAUCUAACCGGAGCAUCCGCCCGAGAACUACGAGCACAAACGCUUAAAACUCUAAGGACUUGGCGGUGCUCCAAACCCACCUAGAGGAGCCUGUUCUGUAAUCGAUGAUCCACGAUGCACCCAACCAUUCCUUGCCCAAAACAGCCUAUAUACCGCCGUCUCCAGCCCACCCUCCAUGAGGGCCCAACA